rnacentral:rRNA from 1 species
AGAAUCAACGCUGGCGGCGUGCCUAACACAUGCAAGUCGAACGAGAAAGUGGAGCAAUCCAUGAGUAAAGUGGCGCACGGGUGAGUAACACGUGACUAACCUACCCUUGAGUGGGGGAUAACCUAGAGAAAUCUGGGCUAAUACCGCAUAAUACCUUCGGGUCAAAGGAGCAAUUCGCUUAAGGAGGGGGUCGCGGCCGAUUAGUUAGUUGGCGGGGUAAUGGCCCACCAAGACUGUGAUCGGUAUCCGGCCUGAGAGGGCGCACGGACACACUGGAACUGAAACACGGUCCAGACUCCUACGGGAGGCAGCAGUGGGAAUUUGCGCAAUGGGGGAAACCCUGACGCAGCAACGCCGCGUGGAGGAUGAAGCCCCUUGGGGCGUAAACUCCUUUCGAUCGGGAAGAUAAUGACGGUACCGAGAGAAGAAGCCCCGGCUAACUCGCGCCAGCAGCCGC